rnacentral:rRNA from 1 species
UACGUAGGGGGCAAGCGUUGUCCGGAUUUAUUGGGCGUAAAGAGCGUGUAGGCGGCCUGGAAGGUCAGCUGUGAAAACUCGAGGCUCAACCUCGAGACGUCGGUUGAAACCACCUGGCUAGAGUCCGGAAGAGGAGUGUGGAAUUCCUGGUGUAGCGGUGAAAUGCGCAGAUAUCAGGAGGAACACCAAUGGCGAAGGCAGCUCGCUGGACGGUACUGACGCUGAGACGCGAAAGCGUGGGGAGCGAACAGG